AACAGCAUUUUUGUUGUUAUGGAUGUUUUUACUUCUGUUUAGAAGGCAACCCAGCUUAGAAAUAGGUACAGUUUUAUUUCUCAUGGGUAAAUUUAUGUCAAUUUAUAAGUAACAUAGAGAAUUUCCUUGUCCCAUUGCCACUUUCAGUUUCAGAGACAUGAAGCAUGUGGAGUGAAUAACCUGCCAUGUGUAUGCACAUGUACCAGAUCUGCUUGAUGAAAGUCAAAUGCCUUACUAAAUUCAUCUCCCAUAUGAUAAGGAAAUUUACAUCAACCUCAGGAGUAAGCCUGUUGGUUGCUGUGAUUUCCAUUUUUGCGGUUUUUUAUCAUGAAAACUUCAGUGUGCUUGUUAGUAUAGAGCAUGUAAAAGAUCCUAAUAAGCCAAUGCUGACCUUUGUCCAUGACGGAAGAGGGACAUCCAGAAACGUUCUGCUCCAUCCUUAUCUUCCCGACGUACACUCAUCUAGAUUCACUGCUUUUGCUGC